UGGGGAAUAUUGGACAAUGGGCGAAAGCCUGAUCCAGCCAUGCCGCGUGUGUGAAGAAGGUCUUCGGAUUGUAGAGCACUUUAAGUUGGGAGGAAGGGCAUUAACCUAAUACGUUAGUGUUUUGACGUUACCGACAGAAUAAGCACCGGCUAACUCUGUGCCAGCAGCCGCGGUAAUACAGAGGGUGCAAGCGUUAAUCGGAAUUACUGGGCGUAAAGCGCGCGUAGGUGGUUUGUUAAGUUGGAUGUGAAAUCCCCGGGCUCAACCUGGGAACUGCAUUCAAAACUGACUGACUAGAGUAUGGUAGAGGGUGGUGGAAUUUUCUGUGUAGCGGUGAAAUGCGUAGAUAUAGGAAGGAACACCAGUGGCGAAGGCGACCACCUGGACUAAUACUGACACUGAGGUGCGAAAGCGUGGGGAGCAAACA
rnacentral:rRNA from 1 species